rnacentral:rRNA from 1 species
GAUGAACGCUGGCGGCGUGCUUAACACAUGCAAGUCGAGCGAUAAGAUAUGGAAGUUUCUUCGGAAGCGGAAGUAUCUGAAAGCGGCGGACGGGUGAGUAACGCGUGGGCAACCUGGCCUAUACAAAGGGAUAGCCACUGGAAACGGUGAUUAAUACCAUAUGAUAUCUGAACUUCGCAUGAAGAUUAGAUCAAAGAUUUAUCGGUAUAGGAUGGGCCCGCGUCUGAUUAGCUAGUUGGUAGGGUAAAGGCCUACCAAGGCGACGAUCAGUAGCCGACCUGAGAGGGUGAACGGCCACACUGGAACUGAGACACGGUCCAGACUCCUACGGGAGGCAGCAGUGGGGAAUAUUGCACAAUGGGCGCAAGCCUGAUGCAGCAACGCCGCGUGAGUGAAGAA